GAUGAACGCUGGCGGCGUGCUUAACACAUGCAAGUCGAACGGUGAACACGGAGCUUGCUCUGUGGGAUCAGUGGCGAACGGGUGAGUAACACGUGAGCAACCUGCCCCUGACUCUGGGAUAAGCGCUGGAAACUGCGUCUAAUACUGGAUAUGUGACGUGAUCGCAUGGUCUGCUUCUGUAAAUAAUUUCGUUUGGGGAUGGGCUCGCGGCCUAUCAGCUUGUUGGUGAGGUAAUGGCUCACCAAGGCGUCGACGGGUAGCCGGCCUGAGAGGGUGACCGGCCACAAUGGGACUGAGACACGGCCCAGACGCCUACGGGAGGCAGCAGUGGGGAAUAUUGCACAAUGGGCGCAAGCCUGAUGCAGCAACGCCGCGUGAGGGAUGACGGCCUUCGGGUUGUAAACCUCUUUUAGCAGGGAAGAAGCGAAAGUGACGGUACCUGCAGAAAAAGCGCCGGCUAACUACGUG
rnacentral:rRNA from 1 species